rnacentral:tRNA from 1 species
GAAUGUAGCUCAGUGGUACUGUGCUUGCCUAUUAAUGUGUGAGGCCCUGGGUUCAAUCCCCAGUAUCA